CGCAGACAACGCUCGGCGACUGCAGGAGAUGGUAGCCGCGAGGUUCCCGGCACACAUGCAUCUGAACGGCGGCGUUGUUUUCCUCGUCAAGAUACCCCGCGCUGGCAGCGGAAAGGUAGACAAGAGACUUCUCCGGGAAAUAUGCGCCGCCACCUCCACGGAAAACAAGAUGGACUGGCCUGUGAUUUCAUUCUGCGCUACUGGGACCGAAUGAAACUGGACCACUGCGUUGUCCGCGAACGGAACGCAGAGUUGCGUGACCAUUUUUUUGGCAUGUAAUUGCCAGGACCACUAGGCCCCCAAACCACAGAAUUAACAUGCUGAUAUGACACACUGGUGAACUACAAUUAUUAUAGUAAACAAGGAAUGCUUGGUUCUGCUAGCACUUCAUUUUGAGGCAUUCAUGCUGAAUUCUUGCCAUAUGUGACACACACCAAUGCAAGCAAGGGCAUUUGGGGAACGCGAAGUAAAUGUAUCAGGCUUGCU
rnacentral:lncRNA from 1 species